rnacentral:rRNA from 1 species
GAUGAACGCUGGCGGCGUGCUUAACACAUGCAAGUCGAACGAUGAAGCCGGAGCUUGCUCCGGUGGAUUAGUGGCGAACGGGUGAGUAACACGUGAGUAACCUGCCCUUGACUCUGGGAUAACUGCGGGAAACUGUAGCUAAUACCGGAUACGACCCUCGGCGGCAUCGCCAGGGGGUGGAAAGAAUUUCGGUCAAGGAUGGACUCGCGGCCUAUCAGCUAGUUGGUGAGGUAACGGCUCACCAAGGCGACGACGGGUAGCCGGCCUGAGAGGGUAACCGGCCACACUGGGACUGAGACACGGCCCAGACUCCUACGGGAGGCAGCAGUGGGGAAUAUUGCACAAUGGGCGCAAGCCUGAUGCAGCAACGCCGCGUGAGGGAUGACGGCCUUCGGGUUGUAAACCUCUUUUAGUAGGGAAGAAGCGAAAGUGACGGUACCUGCAGAAAAAGCACCGGCUAACUACGUGCCAGCAGCCGCUGUAA